UACGGCGGGCGCAAACGUUGCUCGGAAUCAUUGGGCGUAAAGCGUGUGUAGGCGGUCAGCACAGGUCAGUUGUGAAAUCUCCGAGCUUAACUCGGAAAGGUCAACUGAUACUGUGCGACUAGAGUGCAGAAGGGGCAACUGGAAUUCUUGGUGUAGCGGUGAAAUGCGUAGAUAUCAAGAGGAACACCUGCGGCGAAGGCGGGUUGCUGGGCUGACACUGACGCUGAAGCGCGAAAGCCAGGGGAGCGAACGGG
rnacentral:rRNA from 1 species